AUACGUAGGGGGCGAGCGUUGUCCGAAUUCACUGGGCGUAAAGCGCGCGUAGGCGGAUUUUUAAGUUGGGGGUGAAAUGCCGAGGCUCAACCUCGGAACUGCCUUCAAAACUGGGAGUCUUGAGGUAUGGAGAGGGAAGUGGAAUUCCAGGUGUAGCGGUGAAAUGCGUAGAUAUCUGGAGGAACACCCGUGGCGAAGGCGGCUUCAUGGCCAUAUCCUGACGCUGAGGUGCGAAAGCUAGGGGAGCGAACGGGAUUAGGUACCCCGGUAGUCCUAGCCGUAAACGAUGGAUACUAGGUGUUAGAGGUAUCGACCCCUCUAGUGCCGCAGCUAACGCAUUAAGUAUCCCGCCUGGGGAGUACGACCGCAAGGUUGAA
rnacentral:rRNA from 1 species